rnacentral:rRNA from 1 species
UACGUAGGGUGCGAGCGUUAAUCGGAUUUACUGGGCGUAAAGCGUGCGCAGGCGGCCCGUUAAGACAGGUGUGAAAUCCCUGGGCUCAACCUAGGAAUUGCGCUUGUGACUGGCGGGCUCGAGUACGGUAGAGGGGGGUGGAAUUCCUGGUGUAGCAGUGAAAUGCGUAGAGAUCAGGAGGAACACCGAUGGCGAAGGCAGCCCCCUGGGCCUGUACUGACGCUUAUGCACGAAAGCGUGGGGAGCAAACAGG